GAAAGGUGUGCUAAUACCGGAUACGUCUAAGUUAAUAUCUUUUUUUUAGAGAAAGGUGGCCUCUGAUUCAAGCUACUGUGCGGGGAGGAGCUUGCGUACCAUUAGCUAGUUGGUAGGGUAACGGCCUACCAAGGCGACGAUGGUUAGCGGGUCUGAGAGGAUGAUCCGCCACACUGGAACUGAAACACGGACCAGACUCCUACGGGAGGCAGCAGUGAGGAAUAUUGCGCAAUGGGGGCAACCCUGACGCAGCAACGCCGCGUGAGUGAUGAAGGCUUUCGGGUCGUAAAGCUCUGUCAAGUGGGAAGAACCUGCCUUUUGCUAAUAUCAAUUGGCACUGACGGUACCACUGAAGGAAGCACCGGCUAACUCCGUGCCAGCAGCCGCGGUAAUACGGGGGGUGCAAGCGUUAUUCGGAAUCACUGGGGCGUAAAGAGCGCGUAGGCGGUUUCUUAAGUCAGAUGUGAAAGCCCNGGGGCUCANCCCCGGAAGUGCAUUUNGAAACUAAGGGACUUGAGUAUGGGAGAAGGGA
rnacentral:rRNA from 1 species